CCUACGGGAGGCUGCAGUGAGGAAUAUUGGUCAAUGGACGAGAGCCUGAACCAGCCAAGUCGCGUGAAGGAUGAAUGAUCUAUGGUUUGUAAACUUCUUUUAUAUGGGAAUAAAAUGUUCAACGUGUGGGUUUUUGUAUGUACCAUAUGAAUAAGCAUCGGCUAACUCCGUGCCAGCAGCCGCGGUAAUACGGAGGAUGCGAGCGUUAUCCGGAUUUAUUGGGUUUAAAGGGUGCGUAGGUGGAUAGUUAAGUCAGUUGUGAAAGUUUGUGGCUCAACCGUAAAAUUGCAGUUGAAACUGGCAGUCUUGAGUACAGUAGAGGUAGGCGGAAUGCGUGGUGUAGCGGUGAAAUGCAUAGAUAUCACGAAGAACUCCGAUUGCGAAGGCAGCUCACUAGACUACAACUGACACUGAGGCACGAAAGUGUGGGGAUCAAACAGGAUUAGAUACCCGUGUAGUC
rnacentral:rRNA from 1 species